rnacentral:rRNA from 1 species
CAUGCAAGUCGAACGGAAAGGCCCUUUCGGGGGUACACGAGUGGCGAACGGGUGAGUAACACGUGGGUGAUCUGCCCUGCACUUUGGGAUAAGCCUGGGAAACUGGGUCUAAUACCGAAUACACCCUGCUGGUCGCAUGGCCUGGUGGGGGAAAGCUUUUGCGGUGUGGGAUGGGCCCGCGGCCUAUCAGCUUGUUGGUGGGGUGAUGGCCUACCAAGGCGACGACGGGUAGCCGGCCUGAGAGGGUGUCCGGCCACACUGGGACUGAGAUACGGCCCAGACUCCUACGGGAGGCAGCAGUGGGGAAUAUUGCACAAUGGGCGCAAGCCUGAUGCAGCGACGCCGCGUGAGGGAUGACGGCCUUCGGGUUGCAAACCUCUUUCAAUAGGGACGAAGCGUGGGUGACGGUACCUAUAGAAGAAGCACCGGCCAACUACGUGCCAGCAGCCGCGGUAAUACGUAGGGUGCGAGCGUUGUCCGGAAUUACUGGGCGUAGAGCUCGUAGGUGGUUUGUCGCGUUGUUCGUGAAAACUCACA